GCUGGGUGCUGUGGCGCAUGCCUGUAAUCCCAGCAGCUCGGGAGGCUGAGGCAGGAGGAUCAUGAGUUCAAAGCCAGCCUCAGCAAAAGCAAGGUGCUAAACAACUCCAUGAGACCCUGUCUCUA
rnacentral:sRNA from 1 species